CCUACGGGUGGCAGCAGUGGGGAAUCUUGUACAAUGGGCGAAAGCCUGAUGCAGCGACGCCGCGUGAGUGAAGAAGUAUUUCGGUAUGUAAAGCUCUAUCAGAAGGGAAGAAAAAAGACGGUAUCUGACUAAGAAGCCCCGGCUAACUACGUGCCAGCAGCCGCGGUAAAACGGAGGGGGCAAGCGUUAUCCGGAUUUACUGGGCGUAAGGGGGGCGUAGUCGGGGUAGCGAGUCUGAAGGGAAAGCCCGUGGCUUAACCCCGGGUAAGCUUUGGAAACUGUUUGACUAGAGUGCUGGAGAGGUGAGUGGAAUUCCUUGUGUAGCGGUGAAAUGCGUAGAUAUUAGGAGGAACACCAGUGGCGAAGGCGGCUUACUGGACAGUAACUGACGUUGAGGCUCGAAAGCGUGGGGAGCAAACAGGAUUAGAUACCCCUGUAGUC
rnacentral:rRNA from 1 species